AGAGUUUGAUCMUGGCUCAGAACAAACGCUGGCGGCGUGUCUUAAGCAUGCAAGUCGAGCGGCAGGCGCAGCAAUGCGCUGAGAGCGGCGGACUGGUGAGUAACGCGUGGGUAAUCUACCUUUGGCAUGGGGAUAGCCACUAGAAAUAGUGGGUAAUACCGAAUACGUUCCCUGGGGGGAGGUUUCAGGGAAGAAAGGGUGCUACGGCACCGGCCAAAGAUGAGCUCGCGUCCCAUUAGCUAGUUGGUGAGGUAAUGGCCCACCAAGGCGAUGAUGGGUAGCCGGCCUGAGAGGGUGUACGGCCACACUGGGACUGAGAUACGGCCCAGACUCCUACGGGAGGCAGCAGUGRGGAAUAUUSSRCAAUGGRCGMAAGYCUGAYSSAGCSAYGCCGCGUGRRUGAUGAAGGCCKWARGGUUGUAAACUCCUGUCGAGGGGGAGCAAGGGCCGGUGAAUAGCCGGCCUUGAGCGAUCCCUGGAGGAAGCACGGGCUAAGUUCGUGCCAGCAGCCGCGGUAAUA
rnacentral:rRNA from 1 species